CACCACUCUCCUUGAAAAAGGGAGGGGCUGGGCCCUGGGCUCCCAGACUUAGCUGGGCUCCGGUGCCCUUCUAGGCUCGGUCCUAGAGCCGGACGGGGGCGAGGAGGACGCUGCCUGGACUCUGAUACGGUCAGAGGGAGCUCUGCAAAUCGCUGACACCAGCGAGGUUGGCAGCUUUGGCAAGCCAGGCUCGAAGGCUGUCCUCAGUAAAGCACCCAAGCAGACUGAAAAUGGUGUUUGGACUGGGCGGCCAGAGAGAGAGGCUCUACAAGCCCCUGUAUGUAGCACACCUCUUCAUUCUUGC